CUACCCCUUAGGUCCGAGUGAUCUCGGGUUCUGGCUUUUGAGGGGGGCUGUACCUUUUGAUCCGGGUCCAGGUCCAGGAGGAGGAUUCCCAGGGUCUAUGCUGUUGAUCGUUUUGAAUUUCCCUUAGGAGCUUAUAGUUUGAGAUUGGUCGGGAAGGGUUUUCCAGAGAUCUGAACUUUAGCUUUCUCUAAGCAGCCAUCUUGACCGGAAGUUGAAAUUUCUUUACUUCAUUCACUAUCCAUUUUCCCCCUUGAAUUAUGCUCAGUUUGUUGGGUAUGUUAUUUUUUGUUGCAAAUCCAGUUCCUGUGCUCUUUGAAAUAUUGUUUUCUUCCAUACCCUUUAUUCUUUUAAUGUUACAAUUUCUAAGUCUUGUGAUAUAGUAGCUCCACAGUAUUUUUUUUUUCCUGCUUGUCGUAUUUUCUCCUUAAACUGAGAUCUUUGGAACUUAACAAUAAGGUUUCUGUGCAUUUUCAUUUUGGGGGUAUAAUGAUGAUUGCUUUCUGGACACUGGCACACUGUUGGAUUGGCCUCAAGUAACAGGUCUCUAAUUGAAGAGGAAGGUCCCUUUAGGAAUUUUAUCCAAAAUUUCACUGUAGAGCAUGGUAACCUGAAUGGAAUCUUCUUGACAAGGAAAAAUGGGCAGUGCAUUCUUUUGUCCCUUAUUGCUCUUAGGACUGAGGAAGCAGGUUGUUUUAAGUUGAACUAUUAUGGAACUAAUGAAAUCUACUAUGAAAGCUCUAAGUCAGAUGAAUAUGUCAUCUUCAUCUUGUAUAACCAACACAAAGGGUAUAUAAACAUAGUGGCAAACCUCUUUGGCCGGACUCCAAAUCUGAGCACUGAAAUCAAGAAAAAAUUUGAGAAAGUUUGUAUAGACAGAGGAAUUAGGAAAGAAAACAUUUUAGACGUGUCUGAAGUUGAUCACUGCUAGCAGUUUGACCAAUAAGGAAGUUCACUUUGUCCUUCAGGUUCCUGUUGUCCUCUAGUGAUUCCCAGGACAAUACUUUCUUCAAAGAAUUAUCAGCAUGAAUAAUCAACAGUUCUGGAAGCCUUUUUACUUUGAUUCUAAGUUUCAAGUGGAUUCUGUCCUUUUUUCAAACUCUGCCUCUUUACAGAAAGGACUCUUGGGUGAGAUCAUCCCUGCAAAGUAUAAAAAUGGAGACUUGAACCCAGGAUUCCAUUUCCCGGAAGUCCUUGCUAGCUCCCAGAAUUCCCUCUAAUCUCACUGAGAUUUCCACCUGGGCGGGGUCAAAAAUUUCUAUUUAACCUGGCUAUAAAGGCUACUGGGGUCUUUCCUGUUUCUGCUUCCAAGCAGACUUUCAUGAUGUAGGUGAGGUUAAAUGGGCUUCCACCUAGCACAUGCUUCUCUUAUUUGUAUAUUCUUAAAUUCUCAAUCUUUAAUAAAAUUCUUAAAAAUAUAAUACUCCUUGCAGAGAGAAACUAAUUUCUAUCUGCCUCAGUUUCCCCUAAAUUUUAAUCAUAACAAUUGAAUUUUAAUUGUUACAAAAGUCCAAUAAAUGAGUUACCCUGUGCACUAGGUGUCCUAAGUCUGUUUGGGAAACUUGAAUGGAUAAGUGAGGGAAAAAGAGUGGAAAUUAUGUCUAAGCAACAGCAAUAAAAGUCUUCAGAUCUUUGUAUUCAUUCAACCACCUCAACUGACUUUUUUGUUUUUAAAUUAAUUCCUAUAAAGUCAUGCAUAGAAACAAAAAUUCAGUCACUCUGCUAGAUUAUUUUAAUAAAUUAGGUUUUAACAAAAGGAAAAGAAAAGGCUAAUGUUCUAUGAAGCUUUUAAAUGUCUUGAGAUGUCAUUCAUCUGCCUUUGCCUCUUCUAGGACCACUU